UGGUUGAUCCUGCCAGUAGUCAUAUGCUUGUCUUAAAGAUUAAGCCAUGCAUGUUUAAGUUCAUACCUUUGAAUGGUGAAACCGCGAAUGGCUCAUUAAAUCAGUUAUAAUUUCAUGGGAUGUGAUUUGUUAAUUGGAUAACUGUGGUAAUUCUAGAGCUAAUACAUGCAUAUACUCUUACCUUCGGGUGGGAGUGCUUUUAUUAGUGCAAACCAAGUCUUCGGACUGCUUGGUGGUGACUCUGAAUAACUUUGCUGAGCAUUACGACCUCGUGUCGGUGCUAUUCCUUCAAAGUAUCUGCUCUAUCAACUGUCGAUGGUAUAUUAUAUGUUUACCAUGGUUGUAACGGGUAACGGGGAAUUAGGGUUCGAUUCCGGAGAGGGAGCCUGAGAAAUGGCUACCACAUCUAAGGAAGGCAGCAGGCGCGCAAAUUACCCAAUCCCGGCUCGGGGAGGUAGUGACAAAAAAUAACAAUGCGGGACUCUUUUGAGGCUUCGUAAUUGGAAUGAGUACAUUCUAAAUCCUUUAACGAGGAACUAUUGGAGGGCAAGUCUGGU
rnacentral:rRNA from 1 species